UUUCUACCUUAGAAAACAACACUUUCUCAUGGCAUAACACUUCAACUCGAGAAACAUUUGCAUGUAUUACCAAGUCUCCAGAGAGCAGAAUGGUUACAGAAGGGUUAAAGGAGCCACAGUCGAGUCCAAGUUCCAGGCGUCCUCUCUGGCAGAACAGAAGACUGAUACAGAUGCUGAAUUACUGCAGUGCUGAGAAAGGAGAGAAAGAACGAUAAAGAACAAAUAAUGU